rnacentral:rRNA from 1 species
UUACGGGGUGCAGCAGUGAGGAAUAUUGCACAAUGGGGGGAACCCUGAUGCAGCAACGCCGCGUGGAGGAUGACGCAUUUCGGUGUGUAAACUCCUUUUAUAUGUCAAGAAAAUGACGGUAGCAUAUGAAUAAGCACCGGCUAACUCCGUGCCAGCAGCCGCGGUAAUACGGAGGGUGCAAGCGUGUACUCGGAAUCACUGGGCGUAAAGGACGCGUAGGCGGGUUGGAAAGCCAGGUGUGAAAUCCUACAGCUUAACUGUAGAACUGCACUUGAAACUUCUAAUCUAGAGUAUGGGAGGGGGAGAUGGAAUUAGUGGUGUAGGGGUAAAAUCCGUAGAUAUCACUAGGAAUACCUAAAGCGAAGGCGAUCUCCUGGAACAUUACUGACGCUAAGGCGUGAAAGCGUGGGGAGCAAACAGGAUUAGAUACCCCCGUAGUC